UGGGGAAUUUUGGACAAUGGGCGCAAGCCUGAUCCAGCCAUGCCGCGUGAGUGAAGAAGGCCUUCGGGUUGUAAAGCUCUUUCGGCGGGGACGAAACGGUUCGUGCUAACACCACGGACUACUGACGGUACCCGAAGAAGAAGCACCGGCUAACUACGUGCCAGCAGCCGCGGUAAUACGUAGGGUGCAGGCGUUAAUCGGAAUUACUGGGCGUAAAGCGUGCGCAGGCGGUUUGUUAAGACAGGUGUGAAAUCCCCGGGCUUAACCUGGGAACUGCGCUUGUUACUGGCAGACUCGAGUGUGGCAGAGGGGGGUGGAAUUCCAGGUGUAGCAGUGAAAUGCGUAGAUAUCUGGAGGAACACCGAUGGUGAAGGCAGCCCCCUGGGCUAACACUGACGCUCAUGCACGAAAGCGUGGGGAGCAAACAGGAUUAGAUACCCUGGUAGUCCACGCCCUAAACUAUGUCAACUGGUUGUCGGGGAAGCAAUUCCUGGUAACGAAGCUAACGCGUAG
rnacentral:rRNA from 1 species